rnacentral:lncRNA from 1 species
AUGCCCCUGGACUCCCGUUGGAGGGGCUCGCGCUCAGGGUGGGGAGGGUUAGGAACGGGCCCUGGUGGGUCCACGGCCAUGGGGGUCACUGGUUUCCUGCCAGGGGCCUGCAGGGCGGCGGGGACCACGGACGAGAGCAGACUGGAGUUCGGGGGACCCUGGCCAGCGGGGCCCCGGGGGCGGGGAACCCCAGCUCCGGCCUUCUCUGACCAGGGUCCACCCGUCCUCGAGUUUCGUCUGAAAUCACACUUCAGAUGCGGCAGAUCAACACCCACAAAGGCCUUUAUCAAGCAGACUUGGACACACGGAGCACCCCGCCCACCGGCCCGUCUCACACCUUUAUCGGCUGGACGGCCAUCGUGGCUGGCUCUUUCAAAGGUCGGGCGAGAGAAACAGAGGCUGUGAGACCAGAGGUCAAUGAAACAUCCUCCAAAGGGGAGUGUGGUGGGGGACAUUCGACUGAAACCACGCUGCGGUGACCCUGGAGCUGGGCCCCAGCCCCCAGCCCGAUGCCCACCUAAUGGGUUCCUGAACGUUUCCAGCCUGGAGUCACCCGGUUCUUGGCAGGAAUAGCCGAGCCUCCAGGCGACAGUUGCGGGCACCAAGCAGGGUGUUUUGCAUCAUCUGCCUUUCAAGAUGCAUACUUUCCAGAUGAGCCCAGAGCCACGCUUCUCCAAACACUUCAUCCCCCGGGGCCGAGGGAGGGCCCCUGCUCUCUCUGCUCAGCGGCUCUGCACCCGGUCCUUUCCUGCUUUCUUCCCUGCGUGUGAACCGUGGAGCUGGAAAGGAGAAGAUUUUUCUAGGCAAAACAGUUCUGGGCAAAAAAAAGAAUGUUUUCAUCUGCAGCUGGGGCUGCCCUGAAGGAUGCUAGGCAGGGGACCAGAGAAGGUUCAGGGGUCUCUGGGGACGCUGGGCCCCCGGUGGGGAGCGAGAGCGGGUCUUCCACCCACCUCUGCAGGUAAACGGUUUCCACGCUUGCCAUGAACCCAGCUCCAGCUGCAGACUUGGGAGAGGAGACAGAAUCUACGGUAGACGCUCAUUCCUCUGAGAAGAUCUGCGUGCCUCCCGUGUGUCAGGCCCUCCAUCUAGCAGGAAAGGCCCCAGUGUCCAGGCUUCAGCCUCAGCACCGCUGGCCUUUGGAGCAGCUGGGCCUGUAUCCAGGGGCUGCCCUGUGUUGCAGCUGCUCUGCAGCACCCCGACCUCUACCCCUGCCCCCCAAAUUGUGACAACAAAAAACGUCUCCAGAUAUUCACCAGUGUUUUCUGGAGAACAAACUCAUGGCCCCCAGCCCCCGCCUCCCUGCCCUUGACCAAGGACAUAGAUGAAUAGUUGUAACAUUGUAUAAAAAAUUUAGUGGUAAAGUUACAUAAAAGACUGAGUUACACAAAAGAAAGUCUAAGCCUCU